GGCGUAGGUACAUGAAAUCACUCUCACAAGCCAAAAGGCUGGACCUGAAGAGAUGUACCCUUCAGCACCUAUCACUCACGCCACAACAACCAAAAACCUAUCCAUACCACCCACCACAAAUACCACUACCACUCAUAAACCAGUCAUCCCACUCACCACUUAAAGCCAUGAGACCAGCUCUAACCCUUUACCCACCAAGCAAUCUACCACCGGAAAAGGCCAAAACAUCCCUCCUACCCCGUAGCCAGACAAACCUCCUAACAACCACACUCACCCGGAGGAACAAGUUAGAAGACAACGAGUUCCAUGUCCUGGUCGCUUAGUAAAAAAAAAACGAAGAACAGUUCGGGAAGUUCAUAAGCCUAGUAAAGAAAAUCUCCACAUCAACAUACCUUUUGUAGAUGUUCUAACCCAAAUACCAAAAUAUUCAAAAUAUAUGAAAGACUUCUUGUCUAACAAGUAAAAGUUAGAACAAAUACAUCAUGUAGGCAUAGGGGACGAAUGCUCAACGGUCUUGCUUACAAAAUGCCACAAAAACAACACGAUCCAGGUAGGUUUACUAUUCUUUGUUCAGUAGGAGUUAGCAGUAAAGAAUGCACUAGCAGACUUGGGGGCAAGUAUCAACCUUAUGUUAGCUUCCAUGUUCACAAGAUUGGGAAUUGGAGCCCCAAUUCUAACAAACCUGCUAGUAAAGGAGGCAUUUCCUUGCCACAUCAUGAGCAAUGGUUGAUAUGAGUGACGGUAAACUCAUGCUAAGGUUCAGAGAAGAAGAAAUAAAAUUUGGAGUCGGACAAAGAAUCGGGGAUGACCUGAUGCAGAGUGUAGAAGCUCUCGACACAAGUUUGGAAUACACCAUCAAGAGGAGCAAACUCAUGGGAUGCUCAACAUCUUCAAGUGGUAUCACAUAAUCAACCAUGUUUGGUCCAACCAAAGACCUAAAAUGUGGCACGCGAUGACGGCUUAUGAUGGAUAAAUAAAAGCCAGAAAAAUACAUAUUUAAAGAAAAAUGGAAGAAAGCGAAUUAGUGUCUCUAAAUGAAACCUACAAAUAGAGUUCAAUUUUUGAUUCCUAAUUUCAUUUCUUUAAUAUUAUGGAAGAAAGGGAAU